AUUGAACGCUGGCGGCAUGCCUUACACAUGCAAGUCGAACGGUAACAGGUCUUCGGAUGCUGACGAGUGGCGAACGGGUGAGUAAUACAUCGGAACGUGCCCGAUCGUGGGGGAUAACGAAGCGAAAGCUUUGCUAAUACCGCAUAAGAUCUACGGAGGAAAGCAGGGGACCGCAAGGCCUUGCGCGAACGGAGCGGCCGAUGGCAGAUUAGGUAGUUGGGGGGGUCAAAGCUUACCAAGCCGACGAUCUGGAGCUGGUCUGAGAGGAAGAACAGCGACACUGGGACUGAGACACGGCCGAGACUCCUACGGGAGGAAGCAGUGGGGAAUUUUGGACAAUGGGCUAAAGACUGAUCCAGCCAUGCCGCGUGCAGGAUGAAAGCAUUCGGGUUGUAAACUGCUUUUGUACGGAACGAAAAGACUCUUUCUAAUAAAGAGGGUCCAUGACGGUACCGUAAGAAUAAGCACCGGCUAACUACGUGCCAGCCGCCGCAGUAACAC
rnacentral:rRNA from 1 species